CGGGAAUGACCCAGUGCAGGGAGUGACCUCCCCCCGGGAAUGACCCACCGCCCGGGAAUGACGGACGCACAGGGCCAUCCCUGUGAGCGAGCCCAUCUCAACACCAGGCUGUUGGUGACAUCCCUCCAGUUCCUCUUCCAGGCUGUGACUGUCCCAGGCCGCUGCAGGGAGGGCUUUCUCCUCAGGUGACACUAUUGCCUAUGUCCAAGCUCACGUAUGUGAGUAACAGCGCCGGGACAGAGACCAGGCUGGAGGCAGAGCCGUGUGAAAUACUGGUGUGUUUAUUGGUUGGCACUAGAUUACAGCCCACGCGCUCGGCAAACUGGCAUCCACGAAUUUUAUGGUUUUAACUUUUUACUUGACAGCUUCCCCCUUGCACACAACUCAACAGAGGAAACCCUUCCCGACAGGACCCCGACUGCCCGGCGACGGAGCGAGCGCAGAGUGGGCAGAGCCCUCUGGCCUUCCUGGAGACACUGCGGAUCAAAGAUCAGAACCAUGGAGGUAUGUGCUACACCUGCCAGCCAGGAUCAAGCAGGAGAGCACCUGCAUUAUCCAGAGGCUCCAACUGAGAUCUGAGCCCUGAAGGAAACGGGACGUGUUUUCUACUGAACAUGUUUGACUUUGAGCAAAGGUGUCAUAAAAAUAAGUAAGAAAAAGUAUCCACUGAAAUGCUCUGUUUCCAAAGUGCCUCUGCAGCUGUAAAGUGUUUCUGCAAACUAUUUCACCUUAAUUCGUCAUAACCCUCCCACGUGAACUUCACCAGGAGAAAAGAAACACCAAGGGCUGGGGUGAAGAACCGAGACCUGCAGCCAGGAAAAGAAACCCAAACAGACUAUGGGAAUUACAAGUCCAAAACCAAUCUCAAAUUCACAGAGAAUUGAGCAUUUCACUUAUGAUUCACUGAAAACACUUGAAAAUCUCAGGCUUCUUUUAAUUCUAAUAAAUUAGCAAGUUCCAAACUUGCUGACACUUCCCCGUGGAAGCCAAGCGGCAAGAGCGGCUUAAGGACCUCCACGAGACAUCCCAACCGACCCCACCAAAUCCCAACUGACCCCACAUCUCAACCAACCACACAUCCCGACCAACCCCACCAUGUCACACAAAGCAGGACACCCCAGGAUCCCUCCAGGCUCUGCAGCAGCCCCACCCCAGGCCUGGACACCAGGAUGACUCAGAACAGUGUCUGUGAAGGGUCAGAGCCCGUUUCCCUCGGGCUGCUCACACCUGUCAGUGCCUGGGUUGGUGUCAGUCCCACUCAGUCAGGAGAGUGAGUUUGAAGGUACCAGCUCAGACACAAACCAGGGACAGGAAAGCCCUGAGGCUCUGACUGACCUGGGGUUCCUAUGGAGAAGGCUCAGGCAGACACGCUCACACCCGGCUCCGAGGGCUGCCAGGGAGCCCCAGGUACACAGAGCUCAUGGAAAGACUGAGCAGCAAAUAAUGCAAAGAGAUUGUUCCAGAUCUUGAGAUAUAGUAAAUAUAAAAUAGGACACACAGGAAGUUCAGCAAACACUCUUGGACCUCCCCACAUUAAUUUCUGAGGCAAUUCUAGAGCCAAUUUCUCAAGUAUAACUUCAAAAUUCCCACCUUUCCACCAAAAAAAAACAAAAAAAAAAAAAAGGGAAAAAACCCCAAUGGACUAGCACCAAAAAGAGAUUUUAUAAAUCUCCUAAAUACAACUUUAGUCCAGUUCAGUUUCUUUUUCACCAGCUACACCUCUUGGUUAUGUACAGACUCCUGACACUAACCCCAGUACAGCACUGCAGGAUCUGCCCCCACCCCAGCCCAGAGCAGCUGGGUUAGUUCAACACCAGGAACGUGAGGAUCACACCCUGUGUGUGUCAGGGGCUCGGGGACAAGCCCAGGGGUGCUCCAGCCACAGGGUCACUGUGUCCCAGCAGAGCCACAGCCACCGGAUGACACUGUUACUGAGCAGGAAAAUGGAGCCAGGAGGGAAAACAGCCUGGGAGCAGGAGCAGAGAGGGCACUGGGUCACUCAGUGCUGCUGAGCAUCUCUGGGAUCAAAGCUCCUCCCACGGCAACCCCACCACUGCUGGGGGCAGGUUUGGCUAAAGAGACCGAGACCUCUGACCCUGCUCCGGCCACAGGCUCCGCUUGGGAGGGUCAAACCCUCAACCCACUCACCCCUGUUGCUUUGCACAGGUCCAGCCACUGCAUCAGGCUGUGUGAAAGCACAAACACAUCCACUGGGGAUAAAACAGUGGGUCUGAGAACAGGCAGGAAAAUCUACAGCUCUUGUAACUGGGGCACACGUUGGGCCUGUGCAGCCUCCAGGAUUUUGCUCCCCGGGAGCAACCGCACACUGCGGAAUGCUGGACACGGUUUCUGCAUGGAAAAGCUGAGGCCCAGAGCCUGUGCUGGAUCCAGGAAGGGAACUGAGGAUUCCUGACAUUCCCUACCCACAUUUUUAGCCACUGAAUACUUUGUGUCCGCACAAGGGAAAAAGCAUCACUUGCAGAUUCCAACCCCUUUUCAUGUCUCCCUUUACAGAGUUUGCUUUAAGGCACACUCCAGCUGAGGCUGAAUGAGCUGCCUCCGUGCUCCAUGGAGAGCAGGGAAGAGCUCACAGCAUCCACCUACCCAGGAACAGACCUGCCAGCUCAGGGGGGCCCUACAACUGCUGCACCUCGUGGGCAUCCCCUGCGGGACCCACCUCACACCAGUGCCCAGGGAGCAGAGCUGGGCUGAGAGCCAGCUGAGAACUGCUCUGAGGGGAUGCUCCAUGUAAGGGUCAGGCCAGUCACAACAUGCUGAGGUAAGAAUCCCCCUAUCCAAUGCUACCAGCUCAGAACAGCACCAGGUUUAGCAAGGCUGGGAGCCCAAGGCUCAUCCCACAGGGUUCAGCAGGGUCAGGACAGUGGCCUCAGCACGGACACCAAGCAGCACCAGCCCAGGCUGCAGAACCAGAGCACGGGGCCGCCCUCCCAGCAGGUCCCCUGUCCCUCACACAGGCACUGACUGUCAGUCCCAAACCAACUAACACCAGUUUGGAUAAAACCACUGCAAUUGCUGGGCUCUGCAGCUGGACCAGCUCUAGAAAGAACCUCAGAUGCUGAGGAAGACAGGAAUGGUGUGGUGCAGGGAGAGCUCAGGGAGCACAGGGCUAAGGCCUGGUCUGAAAUCUGCAUCUCUUCAGUCAAGACUAUUCCUGCCCCAGAAGCCAUUUCCAGUUACAAGGCAUAACAUCAGCCACUCUGUGGUAACAGCAUCAACUCAUGCCACAUUAGAACACUUUCUUGGCACAAUUUAUUUUUCUGACCCAAACAAAUAAGCCAUUAGCAAGUCAUUAACAAUAUUCUACCCUAUAUUGUCAGUUUAACAGCCCUGUAAAAACAUUUUUAGUUUAAAAACAAAAGUGUGCAUGCUGCUGAUAUUAAAACUGCAGUUACUCUUUCAGGAGUACCAGCUGUUUUGUUGCAACGCGUUCCCAACAUACUAAUCUGUACAGAAGAGACCAAGACUCCUCGAAGGCAGUAGUUGGCUGUGUCAGGUGCCUCGCAGGGACAGUGUUGGAAUUCCUUGUACACUUCCAGACAGAAUAUUCAAGCCCUUUGAGAGUUUGGUUCAGGCUGACCAGCACAGAGUGAGAAAGGAUUGUACAUUCGUCUCUAAGUUGAAGUGAGCUGAACUGGUGUAAUUUAGGCUCAAUUCCAGCUGCCCGGGUUUGAGCUACUCCUUGAAUAAUGGGCUGUUCCUUACGCGUGGUUUUCCAUGUCAGCGAUCGCUGGCACUGCUUUUGGCCUUGCUACUCCACACUGAUGAAAGCAGGGAGAACAAGGAAAGGAACAGAAGAGGAUCUUAAAAUGAACAGCUUCUUGCCAAACCAGCAAGGAUACCAUUCCCCCUUGUCCCAGGCUCCAUGGAUAUUUCUAUCAGAUUUUCAUAUUGUAAGCGCUUCUCGGGAAGAGAGAAAACUCCGGAACAGUGAGUGUUUAUUAGAAUAUUUUUUGUUAAAUAAAGAGAAGGAAAAAAAAAGGAAAAAAAAAA